UCAAGAAGAAAAGGGCACAAGGUGGAUGCCUUGGCACAUGAAGACUAAGAAGGACGUAAGUGAACGAAAACUAGGGUAAGCUCACAAAAAGCAAAGACCCCUAGGUCUCCGAAUGGGGAAACCCGGCUGUGGAAGACACAGUCAUCAUAAAGUAAAUACAUAGCUUUAUGAAGUAAGACCCUGCGAACUGAAACAUCUAAGUAGCAGGAGGAAAAGAAAGAAAACUCGAUUUUCCAAGUAGCGGCGAGCGAACAGAAAACAGCCCAACCCAGUAAGAAAUAUAUUUUUUAGUUAAAUCAUUUGGGAAGAUGAACCAAAGAAAGUGACAGUCUUGUAAACAAAAGAAAAUAUAUUGUGGGGGCAAGUAGCAGUGAACACGAGAAAUUUGCUGUGAAGAUAGGGGGACCAUCCCCUAAGGCUAAAUACUAACAUGUGACCGAUAGCGAACAAGUACCGUGAGGGAAAGGUGAAAAGAACCCCGAAAGGGGAGUGAAAAAGAACCUGAAACCUUGAGCCUACAAGCAGACAGAGGGCAAGAGCCUGAUGUCGUACCUUUUGUAGAAUGGGCCAGCGAGUUAUCAUAUAUAGCAAGGUUAAAUCUUUAAGAGAUGAAGCCUUAGCGAAAGCGAGUCUUAAUAGGGCGAAAGUUAGAUAUGAUAGACCCGAAACCGGGUGAUCUAUCCAUGGUCAGAGUGAAGGUGAAGUAAAAUUCACUGGAGGCUCGAACCGGGUGCGGUUUAAAACGCAUCGGAUGAACUGUGGAUAGGGGCGAAAAACCAAACGAACCCGGAGAUAGCUGGUUCUCCUCGAAAUAGCUUUAGGGCUAGCCUAUGACCAAAGAUUUAAGGAGGUAGAGCACUGACUGGCCUAGGGCGGCUAACCGUACCAAAGCCUAUCAAACUCCGAAUGCCAAAAAAUCAAGUCAUGGAGUCAGACUUAGAGGGAUAAGCUCCUAAGUCGAAAGGGAAACAGCCCAGACCGACAGCUAAGGUCCCAAAAUCUGAAUUAAGUGGAAAAGGAUGUGAACCUACUAAGACAACCAGGACGUUGGCUUAGAAGCAGCCAUACAUUUAAAGAAUGCGUAAUAGCUCACUGGUCAAGUGGGUUUGCGCCGAAAAUAAACGGGGCUAAAAUUCAGUACCGAAGCUUCGGAUUGAUAGAGAAUUUAAAAUUGCUCAAUCAACUCUAGAACAAACAUAAAAAGAGAAGAAAAGGUAAAACUUAGACGGAAAUAUUACAAUACAAUCAAGAUAAAACGAGUUAUUCAAAAUUUACGCAAAUAUCAAACACUAAGAUAAAGGUAAGUUGUAAAUAACUACGAUUAUCACCGAAAACAAUCGCAUAUAUUAAUAUAUGUAACUGGUUUAAAAUAUAGUCGGCACUUUGACAAAUCUAAGAUUUGAAACAGUGCGACAUUUGACCUACUAACAAAUCAAAGAUUUGAGUUAGGUCAAGAAAACGUCAAAGUAUUUACCAGCAAUUUUAAAUACUCUAUCAGUGGUAGAGGAGCAUUGUAUUAGGGAAGAAGCCCAAGCGAAAGCAGGCGUGGACUUAAUACAAGAGAGAAUGCUGGCAUGAGUAGCGAGAAGGAGUGUGGGAAUCACUCCCGUCGAAACCCUAAGGACUCCUGAGCAAGGCUCGUCCCCUCAGGGAAAGUCGGGACCUAAGGCGAGGCCAAAAGGCGUAGCCGAUGGAUAACAGGUCUAUAUUCCUGUACCGCUUAAAGUCGCUAUAGAGAAGUGAUGACGCAAGAGGAUAAGCUAAGCUGCCCGAUGGAAGGCAGUCUAAGCACAAAGGCCGAUUAGUAGGCAAAUCCGCUAAUCAUAAAGCUGAUGUGUGAUAGGUAUCGAAAACAUGAGUAGAGAAGUAGCCGAUUUCAAAUUGCCAAGAAAAGUCACUAUCAAUGACCAAAGCGCCCGUACCAAAACCGACACAGGUAGGGAGGUAGAGAAUACCAAGACGCGCGGAAGAACCUUUGUUAAGGAACUCGGCAAAAUGUCCCCGUAACUUCGGGAGAAGGGGAGCCAGAGCGAUCUGGCCACAGAAACCAGGCCCAAGCGACUGUUUACCAAAAACACAAGUUUCUGCAAAAUCGUAAGAUGAAGUAUAGGAGCUGACACCUGCCCGGUGCUGGAAGGUUAAGGGGAAGGCUUAGCAAACGCGAAGGCUAGAACUUAAGCCCCAGUAAACGGCGGCCGUAACUAUAACGGUCCUAAGGUAGCGAAAUUCCUUGUCGGGUAAGUUCCGACCCGCACGAAAGGUGUAACGAUUUGGGCACUGUCUCAACAAAGGAUCCGGUGAAAUUGUAGUAGUCGUGAAGAUGCGACUUACCCACGCUAGGACGGAAAGACCCCGUGGAGCUUUACUGUAGGCUGAUAUUGGAUUUUGAGAUUAGAUGUACAGGAUAGUUGGGAGGCAUUGAUCCGUGCACGCCAGUGUGCGAGGAGCCAAGCUUGGGAUACCAACCCUCUAAUAUCAAAAUUCUAACAUUGACCCUUAAUCAGGGCAAAGGACAUUGUCAGUUGGGCAGUUUGACUGGGGCGGUCGCCUCCCAAAAAGUAACGGAGGCGUUCAAAGGUUCGCUCAGAAUGGACGGAAACCAUUCGCAGAGUACAAAGGCAUAAGCGAGCUUAACUGCGAGAGAAACAGCUCAAGCAGAGUAGAAAUACGGACUUAGUGAUCCGGUGGCACCGCAUGGAAGGGCCAUCGCUCAACGGAUAAAAGCUACCCCGGGGAUAACAGGCUUAUCUCCCCCAAGAGUCCACAUCGACGGGGAGGUUUGGCACCUCGAUGUCGGCUCGUCUCAUCCUGGGGCUGAAGUAGGUCCCAAGGGUUGGGCUGUUCGCCCAUUAAAGAGGCACGCGAGCUGGGUUCAGAACGUCGUGAGACAGUUCGGUCCCUAUCCAGCGUGGGCGUAAGAAAUUUGCGAGGACCUGUCCUUAGUACGAGAGGACCGGGAUGGACAUACCACUGGUGUACCAGUUGUUCCGCCAGGAGCAUAGCUGGGUAGCUAAGUAUGGAAUUGAUAAGUACUGAAAGCAUCUAAGUACGAAACAACCCUCAAGAUAAGAUUUCUAAAAGUACGUAAAGAAAAUACGUUAGAUAGGUCCAAGGUGUAAGUGCAGUAAUGCAUUAAGCUAAUGGAUACUAAACUUUAAAUCUUGACUGG
rnacentral:rRNA from 1 species